AGAGUUUGAUCCUGGCUCAGAACGAACGCUGGCGGCAUGCCUAACACAUGCAAGUCGAACGAGACCUUCGGGUCUAGUGGCGCACGGGUGCGUAACGCGUGGGAAUCUGCCCUUGGGUUCGGGAUAACAGUUGGAAACGACUGCUAAUACCGGAUGAUGACUUCGGUCCAAAGAUUUAUCGCCCAGGGAUGAGCCCGCGUAGGAUUAGCUAGUUGGUGAGGUAAAGGCUCACCAAGGCGACGAUCCUUAGCUGGUCUGAGAGGAUGAUCAGCCACACUGGGACUGAGACACGGCCCAGACUCCUACGGGAGGCAGCAGUGGGGAAUAUUGGACAAUGGGCGAAAGCCUGAUCCAGCAAUGCCGCGUGAGUGAUGAAGGCCUUAGGGUUGUAAAGCUCUUUUACCCGGGAUGAUAAUGACAGUACCGGGAGAAUAAGCCCCGGCUAACUCCGUGCCAGCAGCCGCGGUAAUACGGAGGGGGCUAGCGUUGUUCGGAAUUACUGGGCGUAAAGCGCGCGUAGGCGGCUUUGUAAGUUAGAGGUGAAAGCCCGGAGCUCAGCUCCGGAACUGCCUUUAAGACUGCAUCGCUAGAAUCAUGGAGAGGUG
rnacentral:rRNA from 1 species